GACGUCCUACGGGAGGCAGCAGUGGGGAAUUUUGGACGAAUGGGCGCAAGCCUGAUCCAGCCAUGCCGCGUGUCUGAAGAAGGCCUUCGGGUUGUAAAGGACUUUUUGUCAGGGUAAGAAAAGGGCGGGGUUAAUACCCCUGUUCUGAUGACGGUACCUGAAGAAUAAGCACCGGCUAACUACGUGCCAGCAGCCGCGGUAA
rnacentral:rRNA from 1 species